GGAUCAUUACAGAGUUUUCUGCUCUCCAAAACCGUCGCGAACGAACCCCGUUGCCUCGGCGGCGCGCCCCCCGGGGCGCCCGCCGGCGGCCCCAAAACUAUUGUCUUUACAGUGGCACAUCUGAGCGUUUAUCAAACGUCAAAACUUUCAACAACGGAUCUCUUGGUUCUGGCAUCGAUGAAGAACGCAGCGAAAUGCGAUAAGUAAUGUGAAUUGCAGAAUUCAGUGAAUCAUCGAAUCUUUGAACGCACAUUGCGCCCGCCGGCACUCCGGCGGGCAUGCCUGUCCGAGCGUCAUUUCGACCCCCAAGCACCGCUUGGUGUUGGGGCCCCACGGCCGCCGUGGGCCCCGAAAAGCAGUGGCGGACCCGCCGUCGCACCGGGCGCAGUAACAUACCUCGCCCUGGCGCGCGCGGCGGAUGCCGGCCGUUAAACCCCCAUCAACUCCUAAGGUUGACCUCGGAUCAGGUAGGGAUACCCGCUGAACUUAAGCAUAUCAAUAAGCGGAGGAAAAGAAACCAACAGGGAUUGCCCCAGUAACGGCGAGUGAAGCGGCAACAGCUCAAAUUUGAAAUCUGGCCCUCGGGUCCGAGUUGUAAUUUGCAGAGGACGCUUCGGGCGCGGUGCCUUCCGAGUCCGCUGGAACGCGGCGCCACAGAGGGUGAGAGCCCCGUAUGGUUGGACGCCUAGCCCGUGUGAAGCUCCCUCGACGAGUCGAGUAGUUUGGGAAUGCUGCUCUAAGCGGGAGGUAAAUUCCUUCUAAAGCUAAAUAUUGGCCAGAGACCGAUAGCGCACAAGUAGAGUGAUCGAAAGAUGAAAAGCACCUUGAAAAGGGGGUUAAACAGCACGUGAAAUUGUUGAAAGGGAAGCGCUCACGACCAGACGCGGGCCGGGCGGAUCAUCCAGCGUUCUCGCUGGUGCACUCCGUCCGGCCCGGGCCAGCACCGGCUCGCGCGGCGGGACAAAAGCCCAGGGAACGUGGCCCCUCCGGGGGUGUUAUAGCCCGGGCCAAACCGUCGCGGGGGCCGAGGCCCGCG
rnacentral:rRNA from 1 species